GACCUUUCGGGGUUAAGUAGAGUGGCGAACGGGUUAGUAACGCGUGGGAACAUACACAGCACAGGGGGAUAACCAUUGGAAACGAUGGCUAAUACCGCAUACGCCCUAUUGGGGAAAGAUUUAUCGGUGUUGGAUUGGCCCGCGUUAGAUUAGCUAGUUGGUGGGGUAAUGGCUCACCAAGGCGACGAUUUAUAGCUGGUUUGAGAGGAUGAUCAGCAACACUGGAACUGAGACACGGUCCAGACUCCUACGGGAGGCAGCAGUCGGGAAUAUUGUGCAAUGGGGGCAACCCUGACACAGCCAUGCCGCGUGAGUGAAGAAGGCCUUAGGGUUGUAAAGCUCCUUCAGAUGUGAGGAUGAUGACGAUAGCAUCAGAAGAAGCUCCGGCUAACUUCGUGCCAGCAGCCGCGGUAAUACGAAGGGAGCUAGCGUUGUUCGGAAUUACUGGGCGUAAAGGGCGUGUAGGCGGAUUAUCAAGUUAGGGGUGAAAUCCCGGGGCUCAACCUCGGCACUGCCUUUAAGACUGAUAAUCU
rnacentral:rRNA from 1 species